rnacentral:rRNA from 1 species
UAUACAUGACUCUGCGCAUAUCAAUAAGCGGAGGAAAAGAAACUAACAAGGAUUCCCCUAGUAACGGCGAGUGAAGCGGGAAGAGCUCAAAUUUGAAAUCUUAAAGGGUUUCCCUUUACGAAUUGUAGUUUAAAGAAGUGUUUUCUGUUGAGGUUUUGGUAAAAGUUCUUUGGAAUAGGACAUCAUAGAGGGUGAGAAUCCCGUAUUUGACCUUUACUUUCAACUUUGUGAUACACUUUCAAAGAGUCGGAUUGUUUGGGAAUGCAGUCCAAAAUGGGUGGUAAAUUUCAUCUAAAGCUAAAUAUUGGCGAGAGACCGAUAGCGAACAAGUACCGUGAGGGAAAGAUGAAAAGAACUUUGAAAAGAGAGUUAAACAGUACGUGAAAUUGUCAAAAGGGAAGCGUUUGACACCAGUGUUGUUUUUCUGAAAAUCAAUUAAAGAACUGUUUAUGCUAAGCUGUUUAGACUUUAUCAGCUAUCUGUUUAGUUUUGAGCUUUUCUUUAAUGCACUUUUCAGUUAACAAGUCAACAUCAAUUUCUUUUGCUGUAAAAAAGCUUGAUGGAAGGUGGCUUGAGAUUCGUCUUAAGUGUUUAUAGCCUCUUGCCUAUGCAGUCGGAGAGAUUGAGGUCUGCAGCGUAGAUCCUUCGGGGCUAAAUGCAUUUGUGCUAAGUUAUAGCAUUUUAUAGACAACUUGUUGACUAUGAUUUGUCUUGUAGCUUACUCGCUUAUGUUAUUUUACCUACGCUUAGGAUGUUGAUCUACAGAGCGAGAGU